GUUGCCAGCUCCCCGAGGAGGGUCGGAUCCACGCUGAGCUCCUCCGACUCCUCAGAGCUCUCUUCGGGAUCCUCGGAUUCCUCAGAGCUCUCUUCGGGAUCCUCAGAGCUUUCUUCAGACUCCUCAGAGCUCUCUUCGUGAUCCUCGGACUCCUCGGGGCUCUCUUCGUGAUCUUCAGACUCCUCGGGGCUCUCCUCGUGGUCCUCGGACUCUUCAGGGCUCUCCUCGUGAUCUUCAGACUCCUCGGGGCUCUCUUUGGGAUCCUCAGGACUCUCUUCGUGAUCUUCAGACUCCUCAGGGCUCUCUUCGUGGUCCUCAGACUCCUCAGGACUCUCUUCAGACUCUUCAGGGCUCUCCUCAAAAUCCUCAGACUCCUCAGGGCUCUCCUCAUGAUCUUCAGACUCUUCAGGGCUUUCUUCAGACUCCUCGGACUCCUCAGAGCUCUCUUCGUGGUCCUCGGACUCUUCGGGGCUCUCCUCGUGAUCUUCAGACUCUUCAGGACUCUCCUCGUGAUCUUCAGACUCUUCAGGGCUUUCUUCAUGAUCCUCAGACUCCUCAGGACUCUCUUUGGGAUCCUCAGACUCUUCAGGACUCUCUUCAGACUCCUCAGACUCUUCAGGGCUCUCUUUGGGAUCCUCGGGGCUCUCUUUGGGAUCCUCAGACUCUUCAGGGCUCUCCUCGUGAUCCUCGGACUCUUCAGGGCUCUCUUCAUGAUCCUCGGACUCCUCGGGGCUCUCUUUGGGAUCCUCAGACUCUUCAGGACUCUCUUCAGACUCCUCGGGGCUCUCUUCGUGAUCUUCAGACUCUUCAGGGCUCUCCUCAAAAUCCUCAGACUCUUCAGGGCUCUCUUCAUGAUCCUCAGACUCUUCAGGGCUUUCUUCGUGAUCCUCAGACUCUUCAGGGCUUUCUUCGUGAUCCUCAGACUCCUCGGGGCUCUCUUGAAAAUCCUCGGACUCUUCAGGGCUCUCUUCGUGAUCCUCGGACUCUUCAGGGCUCUCUUUGGGAUCUUCAGACUCUUCAGGGCUCUCUUCAGACUCCUCAGGACUCUCCUCGUGAUCCUCGGGAUCCUCGGGGCUCUCUUUGGGAUCCUCGGACUCUUCAGGGCUCUCUUUGGGAUCCUCAGGACUCUCUUCGUGAUCCUCAGACUCCUCGGGGCUCUCCUCAAAAUCCUCGGACUCCUCGGGGCUCUCUUCAGACUCCUCGGACUCCUCAGGACUCUCUUCGUGAUCCUCGGACUCCUCGGGGCUCUCUUCGGGGUCCAGCAGCCCCAGGGGUUCCCCUUUGGGGUCCAGCAGCCCCAGCAGCCCCAGGGGUUCCCCUUUGGGGUCCAGCAGCCCCAGGGGUUCCCCUUUGGGGUCCAGCAGCCCCAGCAGCCCCAGGGGUUCCCCUUUGGGGUCCAGGAGGUUUCCGAGCUC
rnacentral:lncRNA from 1 species